rnacentral:misc_RNA from 1 species
GGGCUUUCCCCUCAUUGGGUGUACAUAUUUUAAUAGCAGUAGUUUUAGAAUCAUGUCAAAGGAAAUUCUUACAUGAAUUUCAACUUUCCCCAUUUUUUUAAUACACAGUAAGUUUUUAAAUAUUUGCAAGAGUAAAUUCAUAUGUAUAUAUAGUUUAAGCUAGAGGAAGUUUGAAACCCCCACCCUACCCCAUUUAUAGUACAUAUAUGUAUUAAAAGAUACUAGUAUACUUGUACAUUGUACAUACUUUUCUUUUUUUAUGUCAAAUGUAAACUUAAUCACAACAACUUAAUUUAUGCUGUCACAUGAUUCUUAGUCUUGUCUUUCUUCUUUCCUAUCUUCUCUUGAAACUGUCCAUAUAUGUACUUGUACCCCUAUAAAUAA